CUGGGCUGCGAAAAUUCUACGAAGUACUCAACAAUCAGAUUAAGCAUCGAUCGCGCAGGUUCACGCAAGGGAUUAUGUAAAUAUAUAUUAUUGGUCAUCGAUGAUUCCAAUUCCGAUUCUACAAUAUUCUUGUCAAAGUUGUAUUAGCAAUUAGAAAAAUAAAAAAUCGAAGGAAUAAAACGGGAAAAUUCGAGAAACGAGAGCCGCGACGGAAGUGCGUUGCGUGCUGACUUCGGAACGGUUCUGCUGCAAAAAUUCGAACCGACGACAGAAAUAAACCGAGGCCAUUUUCUGAUUAUUAUUAAUCUAUGACACUGUUCUUGGCCUCGCAAAUUACGUGGACUUCGUCAUCGAUGCUCGACAAGCCGAACUAAUUCUCGACCAUAACACGAAUAACUCUGACGUACAGCGCAAAAUACGAUAAAAUAAAAAAAUUUUUGUUGAAAUCCACGACACAAUCUCUAAAUAAUUAUUUUCAUUAAGAAAUAGAAAUUUACAAAAUUUUCGUUUCGUUUCGUUUCGUUUCGAGAAAUAGAAAUUAAAAAAUUCUUUCGUCCGUUUAAACUGUUAUAUCUUUAAAACAUUAGGAUCUUGGAUGUAGAGCGUAAUAUUUAAAUAUGUGGAAAACCCGAAAGAAAAAGCAUGAAUGAGAGUACAGAAGCAAAUCGUUCUCGAGUUUAAUCACCUUCUAAUAUUAGAAUCAGAACAUUCCUCUUGAUUUUGGUUAACCGCGCGUGUGGAAUGCCCAAACCCUCGAAUAUUUGGUGAUGAUUCACGCGAUAAUCAAAACAGGCAGGAAGAUGAAUGAAAGCGAGAAUAUGAACGAACUGGAAACAAUCCGAUUGCGUGGAGUUAGAAAUACGCAAAUUUAAUCCGUUUCUUAUGCUUCCGAAACAUUAUGUAAGGCUGUUGUAACGAACAACUGUUGAUCAUCGUGGAAUAUUUUUUCGAAUUGGCAAAGUACAUCGUAAGUAAGUUUGAUGGCUCGAAUGAUUUGUAUGAACGAGAAUUAGUCGGCAUUAAAUUAAAUUUUAGAAUUUUUCUUAGAAUUUGAGAGGAUAAAAGAGAUUGAGAAAACUAAAGGUGUAAUUAAUGGUAUCAAAUUUGAUAAUCGGUACGAUAAUAAAAAUUUUAAACACAGA